CUUCAAGCCCUUGGUAGUCUGCACUUGUGUGAUGGAAAGAAGCUUCAUGGGAUUGUUCCUCGAUUGCUGCCGACUUCACUGACUUUCCUCCAGAAGAUAUUCCAGGACAAUCCCAGAAUGCAUAGCACAAAAUCCAUUGAAGAUGAGAGAAAUGUCGAUUAUAUAGAGAUGGAGCAGCUGAACUCAGACGCAGAUGUGAUUCAGUGGCACUAAAACUACAUACAGAAGACAACAACAAACUGAGAGGAGCAGAAACACAAGUGAGAGAGAAACAAAAUAAAACUCUUUCAGAGUGAAUCUCAAGAAAGACAUGGCAAGAUCGCAUUUCACCUCAAAUUUAUAAGGAAAAGAAGCCUGUUUUUCACGGAGACAUUAUUUCUCAAGGGCAUUCAAGGACAAGGAAGUACUUAUUUCUGUAAUGAGUCAUUUUUAUGCAGUAUAUUAUUUCUCAUAUUUUCUUUUUGAGCUAAAAAAAUGUACCUUCUUAACUCUGUAAGGCCUGACAUGUGAAGUAACAGUCCU